UUGGCUCUGGCCUGUACAUUUGUCACGCCUCAAAAUUUACAUACAGACCAGCCCACUGGUGCUCUGAGCCCAGGAACGUGAAUGGAGAGCGAAGAUGAGACAAACACUAGUUUAGCUGCCUGAUCGUUUACUUCCACAGGAAUUAUAAAGCAGACAGUUCUUCAAGGAUAUCGAAAAUGAACCACUGUCGUAAAUGCAGUGUUCCAGGCUGAAACUUAGGCUACAAAGAAAGCUGAGACUUUCCAUAGUCUUCUCAAGGAUUCAAAAGUUCGAGGGGCAUGGAUAAUGUUUUUCUACCAGAAGAUCCCUGCAAAGUUCCACACUCCGUUAUUAAUUUGCAAAACAUUUCACCGAAGGCAGUUUUCAAAACCUUGUACAGUUAAGCAGGAUUUGCUAAGCUGCUGUUACUGAAACGAGGGGUUCCGACCGUAAGGUCAUCACAACCGCAUGCUGUUUUAUCUAGCAGCCAUGCACUUCAAUGAGAAUGCUGAGUCCCCACAACAGAAGACAGCCAAGGAGAAACUAUGUACAGACUUGCCAAACAAUUUAUCAUCAAAGACCCUCUUCCUUAUUGGGAUGCCUUCCAGCGGAUUCCUGUGCCCCAGGACUUGUGUGCUCAGCUUGACAGACCUUCCAUGGAGGAUGCUGUUGCUGAACAUGUGUCACGGUUCAGUCGAAAAGGGGUCUGAAUCCAACGUACUGCCCUGAAGUAUCCGGAAGCUCCCUCCAUAUGCGUAGCACCACAAACAAGGGGAUC